rnacentral:piRNA from 1 species
UGUGAAAUGCACGCGCCUCGCACGGCGGAGU